CGACGAAGCAAACGUGUGAAACGGGAGAUAAAUAUCGAUGUGCGUGCCAUCUCUAAUUACAGGAGAUAGAAAUAUCGAUGUGCAUCUUAGAACGACGAUCAAUGUUGGAUUUGUUGUCUUAAAACAAUUAAUUAAUUAACGUCGUGGAUCAUGUUGGGCAAAUUGGUAAGACAUUUUCUUAGCUUUCUAAUAUAGUUAUUUGCCAUUUGGGCAUAACUAAAUCUGUGUACCCCUAGUUAUGCCGUUACUGCUUGGUGAGGGUGGAUGGGGUAUAUAUACAUCUGUUAAACCGUUACUUGUGUACUACUUUUAGUGUUAUAGCCAUUAAUUAUUCACUGUAUUUUAACGUGUAUAAAGAACCCCCCCACUUUUUUUUUUUUUUACCAAAAAUUAGGUUAAAAAGAUAUGGGAGUUUCUUAUACAUGAAUAGUAUUAUAAUCCCUUGCAAAACCUUUCUUCCAAAUAUUAAGCCCCCAAAAUUAGGGGGUUUCUUAUACACGGUGUAUAAUUUCUUUUUAAUACGCUGUUUCAUAGUUUGUCGCUUGACUUGUCUUUGUAACGAACUUGAUGUCAGAAGGAAAGAAAGUUUAUAAUUGAAUCAGUGCAUUUGUCUUUUCUUUAAAACAAAGUUUAAAGUGAUAUUAAACUAGACCUUACAGAUCUUGAAAAUGUUUAUGGCUAUUUGGAUACUACUUAAGAAGAGUGGUCCCGGUGCGCGCACUCGUGCAUCCGCGCUAGCUAGUCGCGACUAGUCGAUGCUUACUUUGUGUUUUUGCUUUAUUUACUUUGUUUUUAAAAAAUUAUUUACUUUGUGUUUUUGUGUUUUAUUUAAUUUGUUUUUAAAAAAUAAUUAACUUUGUGUAAAAAAAUUAUUUUGUGUUUUAUUUACUUUGCUAGGUAGUCGUUGUAGAAUCGACUCGUCACGACUAGCUUGCGCGAGUACGCGAGUGCGCGCACCGGGACCACUCUUCUUAAGUAGUACCGGCUAUUUGUUUUGUUUAUGGUGUGAUCUAUAACAACACCGCCGUUGGUUACAGUUUCCAAUCAACUAUAUAUUCUGGUUUUACUUUUUUUCUCUGGUCGUUCUUUCUUAGAGUAACUAAUUACAACACUUCUGAAGUCAAAUGAAAAACCGAAACGGAAAUAAGAAAAUAAUUUGAUUUGUUUAUACUUUGUAAAAUACUUAGUUUACACUGCGAAAAGGACAUGUGCUUCUUAAAAUUUUGCGUUUGCUUUUACCGUAAACAACAAAGGCUUUCUAGAGAUGUUUAUGUACAUAGUAUAUACAAAAGUAUUUCCUUUUAUAUUGUAUCAUUUUAGGAAAAUAUGGUUAAUUCUUAUUUUCGUGAGGGAUUAAAACGAAAAUAAUAUUUUGAGAGUGAAAAAAAGAAAUCCCCAAAACAAACAGAAGCAACAUAUAUUUAGAUUCUCUCUCUCUCUUUAUAUAUAUAUACGCGAGCGUGUAUAUAUAUACGCUGGCGUGUAUAUAUAUACGCUGGAGUGCGCUUCCACAAGAAUUGGGAAUUUGGGCAGUUAUACAGAUGGUUGCUAAAAAUAUGUAACAAUUUAGCUGCCAACAACGUAGAGAGUACUCUUAACUCAAAGUUAUCUCCGUUCGUUCACCAGCAGAACAGUGUUGAAAGGUAACUAGAGCGUGAAGGUGAUAGAAGAGAGAGUAAAAGAGAUGUGCAAUGAUAGAGAACGGAGUGAGGCUUGUUCAUGAAGCCCUUAAUGUGAACAAAAGGUGGAUAUUGUAAAGUAUUGUGAAGCAAACUUCUUACCACACAAACACUCCUGCACCUGUGUGUGCGUGUGUGUGUGUGUAUACACACGUACAAUACGUAUACAAAUAGUACAGUGGCAGGCAGAGGAAAGGCAUUUUGGGAAGGAAAUGUCAAAAGAAAAGAAACCUUUGGAAAGACAGACCCAAAUUCGAAGUAUUUCAUAGUGAUUUUUGUUUUAUAACAAUACUUUACAAUAUCCAGCUUUUGUUCACAUUAAGGGCUUCAUGAACAAGCCUCACUCCUUCGUUCUCUAUCAUUGCACAUCUUUUUUACUCUUUCUUCUAUCACCUUCACGCUCUAGUUACCUUUCAACACUGUUCUCAUUUUAAAAAUUAUCUCUGGCUAAUCAUUGAGAGGAUGCUGGUGGCACAUAAAAGCACCCACUACACUCUUGGAGUGGUUGGCAUUUGGAAGGGCAUUCAGCUGUAGAAGCUUUGCCAGAUCAGAUUGGUGGCUAGUGCAGCCUUCUGGCUCGCCAGCCCUCAGUCAAACUGUCCAACCCAUGCCGGUAUAGAAAGCGGACGUUAAACAAUGAUGAUGAUGCUAAUGAUAUAUAAUACAUGCAUAUAUAUGUAUACACAUAAUGAGUGUUGUUUUGCGCCUUUUUUGAUAUUGUAUGACAGUUGUAUAUGAGUCCCGAUAUCAUAUGAGCAUGGGUAAGUGGAUAUUAAAUAAUGAUGAUGAUAUAUAUAUGUCUGUCUGUCUAUCAUCUCAUUUAACAUCCAUUGUCCGUGCUGGCAUGGCUUGGAUGGUUUGACCAGGGCUGGCAAGCUGAGGGGCUGCACCAGACUCCAGUCUGAUUUGGCAUGGUUUGUACUGCUGGAUACCCUUCUUAACGCCAACCACUCCAAGAGUGUAAUGGGUGCUUUUACACGGGUGCAAGAUGUGUGACACCAGUUUCUGCCAUGACUAUGAUUUCACUUGGCUUGAUGGGUCUUCUCAAGCAUGGCAUAUCUCCAAGAGUCUUGGUCAUUUGUCAUUGCCUCUGUGUGUGUGUGUGUGUAUACAUACACACACACACAGACGGAGGCACAUGGCCUAGUGGUUAGAGCAGUGGAUUUGUGGCCGAGGGAUCAUGGGUUUGAAUCUUAGACUGGCCAAUGUGUGUGUUUAUGAGCGAAAUGCCUAAGCUCCACGUGGUUCCGGCAGAAGGUAAUGGUGAACUUCUGCUGAUUCUUUUGCAAUAACUUUCUCUCACACUUUCCUCCUGCAUCUUGCAGCUCACCUGUGGCAGGCCGGCGUCCUGUCCAGGUGGGGAACCUAUAUGCCAAUUAAACCGGGAAAACUGGCCUUUAUGAGCCGGGCAUGACUUGAGAAGGAAUGAGCAACAAUAUACACACACACACUGUUUUAAAAUUAAAAGUCAAUAACUGAUGGUUGUCUACAUAGUCGUUUAGUUUAAUUGUAUCUUUACUAUUUCUGUUACACUAAAUACUUCAGAUUUCUUGUUGGAAACAAGCAUCGAAUCACAAAACCACUACAUCUGUAUUGAAAUUUUCCAAAAUAUCAGAUCUGGCGAGUCAACCCAAAGAGAUAGCAGAUUUUUAUCCAGAGUAUUUUUAGUAAAUUAUGUGAAAAUAAUGGAGGCUAUCAUUAUGUCAUUGAUAGCAAGGGUUUCUUUCUUUUAUUAAUCCUUUUGUGUUCAUGUUCCCAAUGAAAUUCACAAUUCUGAGUUUGACUUAAUCUGGUAAAUAAUCGAGAAUUUGGAACAGUUUAGGUGAAGGCAUGUCUGUGUGGUUAAGGAGUUUAGUUUGUAACCACAUGGUUUUGAGUUCAGUCCCACUGUGCAGCACUUUCGGCCAGUGUCUUCAACUGUCACUCCAGCCUGACUAUUGCAUUGUGAAUGAAUUAGCAGCCAGGUGUGUGGUAGCCUGUCAUGUAUAUAUUUCUGUUGUGCUUGUCUACCCUGCCCCAAUGCCUGACUAUUGGUAUUGGUUUGUUUGUGUCCCUCUAACUUAGUAGUUCAGCAAAAGAGGCCAAUAGAAUAAGUACCUGACUUAAAAAUAAGUACUGAGGUCGAUUUGACUAAACCCUCCAAGGCAGUGCUUCAGCAUGUCCAUGAUAAGUGCUGGUGCUACAUAAGAAGCACCCAACACACUCUGUAAAGUGGUUGGCAAUUAAUUAGAAAGGGUAUCCGGUGAUAGAAACCAUACCAAAACUGAUAAAUGGAGCUUGGUCAGCCCUUGUCAAACCAUCCAGCCUAUACCAGUGUGGAAACUAUGUUAGAUGAUGAUGAUGAUGAAAAUUAUUUAGAAAAGUUUGAAUGUAAACAAGAGCACUCAGAGAAUGCAAACCUCCGCCAAGGCAACACCAGCAUCCUCUCAAUGAUUAGCCAGAGAUAAUUUUUAAAAUGAGAAUAUCUGAAAUAAUCUUGACUGCUCUCACAAAUGAGGAUACUAAAAGUGAACCUGAUUGCUCUCAAAAAUUAAAGAAACAGGAAAAAUAAUACAGAAUCCUUGUCUGGUACCAGAUUGAUCCCAAAAUGUAAUCAGUUCAUGCCAAUCACGAGGCCAAACAUCCCUGAAAGUUUCAUCUGAAUCCAUUCAACGGUUCUUGAGAUAUCUUGUCCAUGUACAAACAAACAAGCAUAACUGAAAACAAUACCUCCGUUUUCACUAAGGCAGGGGUAAUAAAUAAGUGGUUUUGUGUCAGAGCAGCAGAGGUGGUUUCAAGCUGAUUGGUAUCAAAAGGGUUAAAAUGUAUAAAUGUAUGUUUCUUGUCUUGUGUUUUACAUAUAAAUUCAUUUUAUUUUUAUGUUAUAUUAUCCAGGUUAGUUUUGCAGUUGGAUUUUAUGUGGGGGCCUAUGCUGACCAAUAUUAUUCUGUAAGUAUUCUGAUUUCUUUCUUUUUGCAUAUGGUUAUUUAGUAAAAUGUAACUAAUAUUUCUUUUACCUGGUGUUAAUAUGUAUUAGAUUAUUUUGUGAACCCAGGUGUUUUGUAUAAAUUGUUGGAUUUAUACACACACACAUGUAUAUCAUCAUCAUUUAAUGUGUGUCUUCCAUGCUGGCAUGGGUUAAAUGGUUUGAUAGGAGCUGGCAAGCCAGAGAGUUGCACCAAUCUCCACUGUCUGCUCUGGCAUGAUUUUUUACAGUGGGGUGCCUUUCUAAAACCAACCACUUUAGAAUGUGGACUGGAUUCUUUUUAUACAGGGUUUUUUGUUACAUCAAUGGGUGAUCCUGAGCAGCUCUGUGUUGCAGUGACAGGGGCCAAAACUCUUACAGAACUAUUUCAUUGCCUAAUGAGACUGUAACUCUUGCAUUAGGAAACUGAUUAUAGCUGAACCCUGAGCACACAAGUGUUUGGCUUAAAAGAUAAAACAAUAUAUAUAUAUGCUAGCAUGGAAAACGGACGCUAAACGAUGAUGAUGAUGAUGAUGAUAUAUUGGCACAGGCAUGACUGUAGUUAGUAGUUUGCUUCUCAUCUACAUAGUUUUGGGUACUUUGUGUAAGCAUCUACUGUAGCCCCAGGCCAACCAGUAACUUGACAGUGGAUUUGGUAGAUGGAAACUGAAAGAAGCCUAUUGUUUGUGUGUGUGGCAUAAGAGGAAUCAAAUACAGCAUGCAAGUGAGAAUACCACAUUGGUUUAGACAUGUGAUGCGUAUGAAUGAAGACAGCUGUAUAAAGAAGUGCCAGUCACUGAAAGUGGAGGGUACCCAUGGAAGAGGGAGACCCAAGAAGACAUGGGACGAAGUGGUAAGGAUGUUGGACCUCACACAAGAAAUGACAAUAGAUUGAGAUGUCUGGCAAUAUGAAGUUCUUGAGAAGAUCUGCCUACGUCAACGAAACUGAGUUCUAGAAGCACUGUGUGUUCCACCCACACAUAAGAGAACUUUUCACACACCCUACCCCAACAAACCAAACUACAUCUCUUCCUUACAUCUCCUUCAUGCACUAUGCUUAUCUCUCACUCCCUAAUCCUGUCCUCAUGGCUCUGUUCACUGUAUCAUUGCUAUCCAGUAGCUCUCCACCUCCAUAUACCCAGGUUUUCAACACACUGCUUGUGCAUUUUUAGCAAUGCUGUAUCACUUAUAUUAUAACCUCCGUACCCCAAGGGUAUGCCCUAGCACUUGCCACCAUCUCUCUCUUCUUUUACUUGACCAUCCCAUUUAUAUUCUGAUCCCCAUCCCUUGUGAGUAUGCUUAGCAUUUUGCCACCAUCUCUCCAAAAUGCCGGGCAUACUCAGUCCACUCUGUGGAGUGGUUGGUGUUAGGAAGGGCAUCUAUCCAUAAAACCCCUGCCAAAACAGACAGAAGCCUGGUGCAGGCUUCUGUCUGGCCAGCUCCUGUCAAACCAUCCAACCCAUGCCAGCAUGGAAGGAGGAUGUUAAACGAUGAUGAUAUUCUGCAAAAACCUGUCUGGGCAUUACCUUACCUGUAGAUGGUGAGGGUUGGCAACAGGUAGAGCACCAGUUGUAGAAAAUCUGCUUCAGUAAACUCCAUCCAACUCAUGCUAGCAUGGAGAACUGGAUGUUAAGAAAAAUGAUAAUGAUGAUGGUAUAUAUUUGUGUGUAGUGUCUUUAACCCUUUAGUGUUCAGAUUAUUCUAUCAAACAUAAUGCUUAUUGAUUCACAUUGAUUUGAAUUAAUCAUGCAUUAUCUCAUAUCUUCAAGAUCUUGAUGGUGUAAUUAUUUAAUGUAGAAUAACAUUGUAGGGUAGAUGUGAGGGCCUGGAUCUGGUCAGUUUGAACAUAAAACAGAUUAAAUAUUUUGGCUGGAUAUGGCCGGUUUAAAUACUAAAGGGUUAAGAAUCAAUUAUUUCAUCAUUGAUGCUUUUUUUUUUUACACUUACAGUUACCAAAACUUCCUGGGCCAAUGGGUUUAUAUGAAAGAAUCAAAGUAGAAUUAGACAAAUACAAGAAAGAUAAGCCUGGACCUGGUAAAAGUUAAUAGAUGUCAGCUUAUUUCAGCACAUUUUACAGAAACUGAUUAACAUGAAAAAACUUACAGAAAAAAAUUGUGAUAUUAAUGAUAUCACAGGAGUUGGUUAAGUUUCUUUUUCCUUUUAAUAAAUUUGAUUUUGUGAUGUUUUCAUAACUGUGAUAUAUAAAAAUAGGAGUAAAUAAAAGGAUUGUUUAAUGAAA
rnacentral:lncRNA from 1 species